rnacentral:misc_RNA from 1 species
AACAUCGCGCACCUGCGGGAACCUGCGGAAGGAUCGUUACAGAGUUGCAAAACUCCCUAAACCAUUGUGAACGUUACCUAAACCGUUGCUUCGGCGGGCGGCCCGGGUCCUUCCCGGCGCCCCUCGGCCCUCGCGGGCGCCCGCCGGAGGUAAACCAAACUAUUGCAUUGUAUGGCCUCUCUGAGUCUUCUGUACUGAAUAAGUCAAAACUUUCAGCAACGGAUCUCAGAUCGGAAGAGC